rnacentral:misc_RNA from 1 species
GCAUGAUUCACACCUUUCCUGUCUAAGAUGAUUCCAGUUGCCUCCUAAAUACCUGACUGGAAGCCUAAUGCCUGACGUCAAAUUCUCAUCUUUUUUUGUAUUAAAAACUUAAAUAAGAAAACAAGGUCACCUAAAACAAUAGAUGGUAUUACAGGGACUAGUAAACAACCUAAAGUAUAGGUAGUAAUCAAGUUCGAGUGCCAAAUUAUAGUAUAAUACCGAUCAUGGCACGAUGAUACCUCAACAAUCAGGAUCCAUAAAAUAUAGCCCAUCAUUGAUCAUCACACUUGACAUCUAUGUCAUGCACUGAAAAUCAGGAGGAUGAACAAUUCCCUUCAUCAAUGAUAUAAGACCAUCCAGUAUUUCAUAUAUUGAGUUGGAACAAGGAUGUGCUUUAUCAGCAGCAUAGAAACAAUGAGUCGUGCUACUAAUGCUUAUCCAACUGCAACCAGGAGUUUUCCUUAAACCCCUUUCUUUCAUUAUUGUUCUUACCUUGGCUACAAUAUGCCAUCUCCUAAAAGAAGCAUGAAUAUUUGAGAGUGAGACAUAAUUUGAGGGGUUCUCAGGUUCUAAUUGAAUAAGAAACUUGUAAGCUAGAUCCUGCAUCUCAAGAUUCCCAUGUAAUAUGGAAGCACUAACAAGAGCCCCCCAAACACUAGGACCAGGUUCCAUGGGCAUUGCUUUAAUAAAAUCUAAUGCCAUUUCAAGGCGGCCUGAUCUACCUAACAUGUCCACAAGACAAGCGCAUAUCUCAGCCGUUGGCCCAAUUCCAUAUUCACUUAUUGCAGAGUUAUAGAUACGAAGGCCUUCAUCUACCAAUCCUGACCUGCCACAAGCAGAAAGAGCCCCUACUACUGUUAUCAUGUCUGGUUUAUUCCCUUUCUGAAGCAUUCUAUCAUAUAGAAAGACGGCUUCCUUUCCCAUCCCAUGCAAUCCAUAUCCAGAAAUCAAGGAACUCCAAGAGAUUGCAUCUCUACAAAAAGAUCUGUCCUCAAACACUCGUCUUGCAUAAUUCAAGUUACCACACUUGGAAUACAUGUCAAUCAAAGCAUUACAUAAAGACAAGUCAUGGUUCAGUUUUUUCCUAAUUGCAUAUCCAUGAAUUUGUUUCCCGCUAGUAAAAUCAGCAAGCAAGCCACAAGUAGGAAGAAUACUCAAUAGGGACACCCUAUUAGGUUCUAUUCCAUCUUUCACCUGCAUUUCAUGAAAAAGAACCAAGGCUUCUUCCAUAGCUCCAUUUUGCACAUAACCAUUGAUCAUUGCUGUCCAGACAUAAACAUUUCUCCUCUUCAUUCGAUCAAACACUCGUUUACCUGAAUCAACUUUAUUAUUCCUUGAAUACAUAUCAAUCAAACAACAUCCCAAAUGACUAUCUGAACCCAAGAACCCCCAGCCCAAUUCAUUUCUUACUAUGAACCCAUGAAGCUCCCUUCCAUAAUCCAUUUUCCCAUUAUCAUUAUUACAUAAAAGCAAAAGACUCGAAACUGUAAAUCCAUUGGGCUUGAACCCUUCAAUUUGCAUAUCUUUAACAAGUUCUAUAAUCUCCUUAGUGAAAUUACGAUCCCCCGAAUCCGCAUAUCCCGCUAUAACAACAUUCCAAGAAGUCGCAUUUCUCUCUGGCAUUUCACCAAACAGUUUCAAACAUUCUCUAAAUUCCCCACAUUUACAAUACAUAAACAUAAGAGAAUUGGCGACGAUAAUAUCCAAGACAAACCCAAUUACUACACUUUUCCCAUGAAUCAGUUUCCCAGCUUUCAAGUCACCGAUCUCACUGCAAACCUUGCAUAGUGUUGCAAGCGUAUAAUCAUCCAGCAACACACCACAGCAACACAUCUGAUAAAACAGACGAAAAGCUUCACCGUAUUUCUGGUUUUUAACAUACCCAUUAAUCAAUGAGUUCCACAGAUACACGCUCUUCUGUUCAAGAGAGUUAAAAACAAGUUGCGACUCAGUUGGGAAACCGCAAGCAGCAUAUGCGGAGAUGAGUUUAGUUGCUAAAAAGGGGUUUUGAGAGAAACCAAGAGAGAGAAUGCGAGCAUGGCAUUGGUGGGUGAGAUCCAGCGAGCUGUGGGCAAUUGAGAGCUGAAGCAAAUGGAGAAGAUUUCGAGAUGGAGAGGAGAGAGAGGCAGAGUGGUAAUAACGGGAAGUGACGAGGACAAAUGGUUUGAAUGAAGAGAGUCGGAUCAUUUAGAGCAACAGCUUGUUUUGAAGUUGGCGGGUGAUUCUUGGAGGACAAAAAGGAUAAUCAGCGAUCACUAUAACUAUUCCCGGUGACGCCUGCCCGGCCCGACACGGUCGGCCGAGACUGGAGUCUGCUCAAGGAUUAGAGUUUAG